UACGAAGGGGGCUAGCGUUGCUCGGAAUUACUGGGCGUAAAGCGCACGUAGGCGGCUUUCUAAGUCGGGGGUGAAAUCCUGGAGCUCAACUCCAGAACUGCCUUCGAUACUGGAGAGCUCGAGUCCGGGAGAGGUGAGUGGAACUGCGAGUGUAGAGGUGAAAUGCGCAGAUAUCGGGAGGAACACCCGUAGCGAAGGCGGCACUCUGGGCCGGAACUGACGCUGAGGAGCGAAAGCGUGGGGAGCGAACAGG
rnacentral:rRNA from 1 species